rnacentral:rRNA from 1 species
AUUGAACGCUGGCGGCAGGCCUAACACAUGCAAGUCGAGCGGCAGCGGAAAGUAGCUUGCUACUUUGCCGGCGAGCGGCGGACGGGUGAGUAAUGUCUGGGAAACUGCCUGAUGGAGGGGGAUAACUACUGGAAACGGUAGCUAAUACCGCAUGACCUCGAAAGAGCAAAGUGGGGGAUCUUCGGACCUCACGCCAUCGGAUGUGCCCAGAUGGGAUUAGCUAGUAGGUGAGGUAAUGGCUCACCUAGGCGACGAUCCCUAGCUGGUCUGAGAGGAUGACCAGCCACACUGGAACUGAGACACGGUCCAGACUCCUACGGGAGGCAGCAGUGGGGAAUAUUGCACAAUGGGCGCAAGCCUGAUGCAGCCAUGCCGCGUGUGUGAAGAAGGCCUUAGGGUUGUAAAGCACUUUCAGCGAGGAGGAAGGCAUCACACUUAAUACGUGUGGUGAUUGACGUUACUCGCAGAAGAAGCACCGGCUAACUCCGUGCCAGCAGCCGCGGUAAUACGGAGGGUGCAAGCGUUAAUCGGAAUUACUGGGCGUGAAGCGCACGCAGGCGGUUUGUUAAGUCAGAUGUGAAAUCCCCGCGCUUAACGUGGGAACUGCAUUUGAAACUGGCAAGCUAGAGUCUUGUGGAGGGGGGUAGAAUUCCAGGUGUAGCGGUGAAAUGCGUAGAGAUCUGGAGGAAUACCGGUGGCGAAGGCGGCCCCCUGGACAAAGACUGACGCUCAGGUGCGAAAGCGUGGGGAGCAAACAGG